GUGUUUGAAGAGAUUUCUGAUUUUUUUUUCUGCUGAUUUAUUUUUAUUAUGGUGUUUUUUGUGAUUUUAUAAUUUUUUUUUUUUUGAGUGGUUUUUCCUGCCUAUUUAAAUGCAUUAGAAAUUUGUCAAAAGAAAAGAAAAGAAAAAAAGAAAAAAAAAACAUAAAGCAUUAAAAGAAACAAAUUUUGUUUGACUUUUUUUUUUUCAUUUUUCUUUAAUUUACAAAAUUUUUCUUUUCAAUCCGGAAUAUAAAACAGUGGAAUGCUAUUUUUCAACAGUGAUACACAGAGAACAGUUGUAAACUGGAUUUAUUGUGUUCUUAAAGGGUAAUGGCGGCCUCCACUCAAGGAGAAAUAAGAGUGGGUCCCGGCCACCAGGUAAACGAUGUCUAUGCAAAACUGCCCGAUUAUAAUCCAAUUUCAAGUUUUCCUGUUGACAAAGAAUCUGAAAGAGAAUUGGAAGUAUCUCGAUGGAGUCCUGGUAUUGUUUUAGAUGGGGAUCUGUUAAUGUAUUUAAGAGCAGCGAGAUCUAUGGCAGCAUUUCAAGGAAUGUGUGAUGGAGGACUUGAAGAUGGUUGUUUAGCCGCAAGUCGUGACGAUACUACUAUAAACGCCCUUGAUGUUUUACAUGAUUCCGGUUAUGAUCCCGGUAAAGCUUUGCAAACUUUAGUUAAAUGCCCAGUAGCAAAAGGAAUUGAUAAAAAGUGGACAGAAGAUGAAACAAAAAAAUUUAUAAAAGGUUUACGUCAAUUUGGAAAGAAUUUUUUUAGAAUACAUAAAGAUUUAUUACCGCAUAAAGAAACACCAGAAUUAGUUGAAUUUUAUUAUUUGUGGAAGAAAACUCCCGGAGCUAAUAAUAAUCGUCCGCAUAGACGCCGACGACAAGGCUCUUUACGUCGUAAUCGUGCUGUGACACGUUCUAGUAAUACACCUCCAAAGAAAGAAGAAGACACAAUUGAAGCCCAAACAGAAUCAAAACCUUCACCGAUAUCCAAAGAAGAGAACAGUUCGUUAACUGAAGACGAAGCUAGCGAAUGUGAUAGUGAUUCAAGUCUUACCAAAAGGGAUGAAUCGCCAUCAAGAAUGAGGACAAGGAACAAACAAGGAACAAAGGAACAAGUGGCCAAUGGUAAGAGACCAAAACGAGGUACUGAAACUCCAGAAGGCGAUAAUCCAAAAACACCAACAAAAAAUGACAACAAAAGAAAACAGGGUACUGGAAAAUCCGAUACACCAAGCAAAAAGAAACGAUCCGACAUUGAUGGCGCUGAGGUAACAGAUGAUAAAGAUAAACGCAAACGAGCAGAUAGCCCAACGGAAAGUUUGAAUUCGGACAGCAGACCAGACUCUGUUAUUGACGAAGGUGAAAAUACAAAUGAUGCACCUGAUCAAGCACCUUUAGUUAGUAAUUUGAAAGAAAAUAGCAAUAAUAGUAUUAGCAACGAAGAUAAAAAUACAGUUGGAACUACUGUCAACAGUGCUGUUAAUGAAAAUGCAAAUUCAAAUCCGGAUAAAGGAGUUACUUCUAAUACAGAAAAUCCCAUAUCUAAUACACUUAAUACACAUGAAGAAGAUGCAAAUCAUCCUCUUAGUGUAAGACAACCCAGUACGAAACCUAUAGAACAAAAAGGUACUGAACAAAUGCCAGCUCAAAACACAACAGUAACUGAAAAUAGUACAACCGCAAUUAGUAAAACAAAUGUAACAAAAGAAAAUAUUGAAGAAGGUUCAAAUACAAAUAAUUUUGUUUCUAAGGAUGUACAACAACAAGAAAUAUUAGCAAAAAUUGCCAAUAUAAAACAAGAAAAUAUACCACAACUGACAACAGUUUCAGGUGCUUCUACAUCAACUGCACCUUCUUUGAACACACCUUCUUCGGGUGAUUCUAAUAUAAAUAUAAGCACAACGAAUGUUUAUAUUAAAAAGGAACCAAACGAUGAUGCACCUUUAGAUGCAUCAUGUAACCAAAAUAGUAAUGAACCUCAAGAUUUAAAAGUAAAAAUGGAAAUUAAACAAGAGGAUACCAAACCAAAUAUUAAUCCUUUGCAGCUUCCAAUAGGAUCUCAAACACAAAAUCAGCAACAAUCGAUCACAGCCAUUGAUAAUAGUGUACCUCUUUCUUCGAAUAUUAACCAAGCUUCAACUGUGGAAGCUCAACCAAAAAUUGAGAACACCAACUUCGAAUGUCAAAAAUUAGGUAGUGAAGUGAAAUAUCCAAAUAGUGAAGCAGACAUAAAAUUCAGCGAACAAAUUAAGUUACAACAAGAUGGAAAUCAUCAAAUGAAGUAUAGUACUCAAUCGCAAGAUAUAAAAUAUCAGUUGCCACAUUCAAUGGAAUCUUUGAAAUAUCCUCCAAUAUCAUCAGCAGAUAUUUCGGCUGGUGCUAAAUUUGAUGUAAAAUACAAUAUCGACACAGGGAAAUAUUCGAACGAGCCUCCAACAAGCAAGGGAUAUUCAGAUCCAAUAAAAAUUCCUGAUAUUAAAGCAUAUCAUAAUGAACUCGCUGCUGGAAAAUAUCCACCCAUUUCUAUAGCUGGUGGGCACAUUAGUGACGCUCAAGUUCAAAGUUUAAAAUACCCGCAUAAUAUGCCGCCAACUUUAAUAUCUGGCCCGGACGCUCAUAAAUUUAUGUCUGAUCCCAAUAAUGCAUUGAUUGGAAAAAAUCAUUAUUCUCAAAGUACGCCAAUCUCACAUGUUGAAAGUCAAAAUAUUGGACCUAAUCAUCCAUUAGCAAGAUCACCUUACGAUUCAAGUAUAAUGGUUAAAUAUGGAGAUCCUAUGACAAAAUAUGGAAUUCCUCCCAUGGGACCUGGUCAACAUCAACCACAAGAUUUAAAAUAUCCCCCGCCGCUUCCACCUGGACCGCCAACUUCGCAAUCCAACGAACAGUCAUUUAAAUCGUAUCCUGGCGAAAAUUUAAUAAAAAAUUCGCCUUAUGGAAAUCCUCCAAAUUCAGGUAAUAGUGGGGAGCCUCCACCAAACAGCAAGUAUCCUCCUUCUGAAAGUCCUUUAGACGCUUCUUCUUCAGCAAGAACAACACCAAAUCAGGAUAGUCAGGGAAGUAGUAGUAAUUCGCAAUUCCCAAGCUCUCAACAUCCUUCACCGUUGUUGCCUAAUGUUAGCAACGCAAAUCAUCCAGGAAUGCAACACUUAAUUAGCAGCCACCCAGGUUUACCACCUAAUUCUCUUCCCUCACAUCACUCAAUGGUGUCUUCUGCAAAUCCGUCACCGGUUUCUACCCCGAAUUCAAUGACGCAAACAUCGGCAGGAUCAAUGCUUUUGCCUCCCCCAACAAUGUCUUCAGUAGCUUCUUCAGGGUUACAUUCACAAUUAGGAGGACCACAUGGAUUAUCAAGUAGUCAAAUUCCUACAUUGCACAAACCACAUCCAGAAAUGCCAGUUGGGCUGUCGUCUAAUUCAAUUUUACACCAUCCCGGUUUGACUUUAAGCUCGGGAGGUCCGGGAUCGCAUUCGAAUUUGCCAUUAAGUCACUCUGCUUCAAUGAAUAGUCAUCAGGUGGCAUCAGUCCAAAAUCGGUCUCCGUCACCUGCACAAGGACCACCACAAAGAUCCGGAUCCGAAAAUAUGUCAGGAAAUCAAAGUUCAAUGCGCGAUUCCAGAGAUAUUGUCCAAUCACAACAUCCUCAGCCACAUUCUGUUCCGAACACAACUGCAGGAUCAAUUCAGCCUUCAAAUACUCCAUUAAUGUCACAUGCACAUAGAUCUUCUCCUUUAACAGGAUUAGGUCCGCCACCACAUUCAGCUGCGUUGUUGGGCCACCCAGGAGGACCAGUUGGUGUUGGAAUACCACUUUCGCACCCAGCUCAUCCAGCACAUUUAUUACCACAUACAAUGAGUGGUAUACCACCCCACGCAAGUCAUCCAGCUCACUUAUUACCUCCUUCGAUGCAAAUUGGAAGUGGGCCCUUACCGCUUAUUAAUACAAUUGGUAAUAACUCCAGUGGUUCCAGUAAUAUUAGCAGUAAUAACGAAUCUUCCGCGGGCAGAAGAUCUCCGUUGCCUCCUCCUUCAUCAUCAUCUUCGUCAUCAGCGCCCCAAUCUAAUAACUCUAUACCCUCAUCAGCCUUUAGUCGUGCUAGCCCUAGUGUUCAAAAUAGCUCGGGAAGUUUAUCAGGACCAAUACCAUCAUCAAUUGCAAGCCAAAGAACGCAAUCGCCUUCGGCGCAAAACUCGUCUUCUGGUAGUAAUAAUAGUAUGAGUCGUGUAAGUCCUUUACAUCCUGUGCCGCAAAGUCCUUUGGGGCAUCAUCCAUCUGCUACGGCUUUAUCUGCAGCAGCCGCUGCUGUAGCCGAAAGGGAUCGACAGGCUUUACUUCGUCAACAAUCUCCACAUAUGACACCACCACCGGUUUCAACACCUUCAUCAAUGAUGCCAAGUCCGUUAAACAAAUUAUAUGGUGCUCCACCUUCACAAUCAUCAUCUUCUCAAAGUCAAAGAGCUAUAGCUUCUGGAACUUCGCCACCGCCACACCAUCUGAGACCUGGUGCCUCUCCACCUGUUAUUCGCCACCCACAAAUACCUCUACCUUUACCAUUAAUUGGACCAGGUCCCGCUCCUGGGAUUCCUCCAAUGGGUGUUCACCCGCAAAGUCCUUACCCACAUCAUUUAUUUCAUCCAUCAAUGUUAUAUCCCCAUCAUCAUAACCCUUUUAAUUCUCCAUACCCAUAUCAUCCUUAUGGACCUGCAGCCGGUUUUGCAGCUGCUUAUAUGAAGCCACCUCAGGCGGGAGGUCCUCUAGAUCCAGCGGUAAUGCAACAUCAUCAAGCGUUGGCUGCAGCUGCCGUUGGUAGAGAAGAAGCAGCUGUAGUAGCUGCAGCUGCCGCGCAAGCAGAUAAAAUUCGAGCAGAAAAUGCGCAUGCUCAAGCUGCCGCUGUUGCAGCGGCCCAACAUCAACAACAUCAACAACAACAGCAGCAGCAACAGCAACAGCAGCAACAACAACAGCAGCAACAGCAACAACAGCAGCAACAGCAACAACAACAGCAGCAGCAACAACAACAACAACAGCAACAGCAGCAGCAGCAACAACAGCAACAGCAGCAUCAUCAUCAACAACAACAACACAAAAUUAAGCCGCCAACUCCAAAAACUCCACAAGGUGCAGGUAGUGGUAGUAAUAGUUCAACACCAACUGCUGGUCCAUCUCCGUAUCAACCACAUCCAUAUCCCUCACCACAUCAUCCUGUUUUUCAAGAUAGUUUGUCCAGUAAACCGCUUACUAGUCAUAUGGAAGCUUUAAGAGCACAUGCAACAUCGGCUAGUUUAUCAAGUCACCAUCCAUCAGAACCAUUGCCUAUUGAAAUUGAACCAGAUCCAGAACCUGAAAUACCAAGUCCGACGCACAAUAUACCACGAGGACCUAGUCCAGAGGCUAAACCAGAUGACACAGAAUGCCAUCGUUCUCAAUCUGCAAUAUUUGUACGACAUAUUGAUCGGGGUGAUUACAAUUCUUGUACAAGAACUGAUUUAAUUUUCAAACCAGUUGCCGAUUCUAAAUUAGCUCGCAAAAGAGAAGAAAGAGAUCGUAAAUUAGCUGAAAAAGAAAGAGAAAGACGACAGCAACAACAACAGCAACAAUUGCAACAACAAGCACAAGCGCAACAGGCAGCGCAACAAGCUAAAAUGAAAGCUGAAAUAAAACCUCCAUAUACCGAUACACCGGCAUUAAGGCAAUUAUCUGAAUAUGCCAGACCCCAUGUGGCGUUUAGCCCUGUUGAAUCGAUGGUAGCACCUUAUCAUCACCCAAUGGGGCCGAUGUAUAAUAGAGAGAGGGAGCUUGAAGAAUUAAAGAAUGCACAAGCAGCAGCAGCCGUGGGACAGUCUCGUUUAGAUCCCCAUUGGAUGGAAUAUUAUCGAAUGAGGGGCAUACAUCCAUCACAAUUUCCAUUGUAUCCAAAUCCAGCCGCUUUAUCGCAAUUAGAGCGUGAACGUUUGGGUAUUCCACCACAUUUAAUGGACCCCGGUGAUCCAAUGAUACGAUUGACUACUGCUGGAGAAUUUCAUGCACAUUCUCACACUCAUUUACAUUUGCCUUCACAGCAACCACCGGAAGCCGGAUUUCAGCUACCACCGAAUAUUCCGCCAUAUCCGAGACCGAAUAUGCUUAUACCGAGGGAGCCACAUUCUGAUGUUUUAUUGAGAAUGUCUUAUGCUGAUCAAUUACAGUAUUUACAGGCGGCUGAAUUCCAAAGGCAAUCAUCGUUGCAUGAUCAAUACUUCAGACAACGGCCCAGAUAAACUGAAUCAAAAUAAAGGAAUUGAAAUUUUUAAAAAUAAUGGAACCUUUUAUCCCUCAUUGCAAUAUAUAUAAUAUAUAUAAUAAAAUGCGUAUAAGUUGAAGAGUUUCCAACUUUAUAAAAUUAUAUACAGAAAAAUACAAAAUAGUUGAAUUUAUUUAUACAAAUAUUAUUAUAUAAUAAUUGAAAGCUUCUAUAUAUAAGAAAAAAGUUUGGAAAUUCUUUAAAAAAAAAAAAAGUAACCAAGUAAAAUAAACAAAAAACAAAAUUGUUAUUAAUUUUUAGUUAAGCAAAAAUUAAAAUAAUAAUAAUAGUUAAUAUUAUCAUACAAUAAAACUAUAAAAAUUAUUUAUUUUAAAAUAUUAUGAAAAUUCUUAUUUAAAAAUGAAAUUAUCGCUGCCUUCAUACAUAAAAUAAUAUAACAGAUGAAUAAAAAAGAGAUUUUUUUUUCAUUUACUUAAUUUAAAAAUAAUUAAAAAAAAAAUAAAAACUUUUUUUAUUAAAAUCAAUCAAAUAAAAACUUAUUUGUCAACAUUUAAUUUAUUAUUAAUAAAUUAAUUAAGACACAAUGAAUCAAAAACAUUAAAGAAAAAAAUAAGAAAAAUAAAAUAUAAAUAAAAUUAUAAAAGAAGUUAAAAAUAAAUCGAAAAAAAUCACACUGUCCAUAAUUUUUUUUUUUUUUAUUUUCAAAUGUGAAGAAAAAAACGCACAAAUUUAAUUUUAAAAUGACAAAAUGAAAUAAAAUAAAAAACAUUUACCAAAUUUUUAUUUUUCUUUAAAAAUUUGCAAAAUACAAAACAAACUUUUGCUAUGUGAAAAAAAAAUUAAAAAACAAUAACAUUUUUAAUUUAUUUUUUGUUUUUAUCUUUGAUUAUUGAAACGGACGAGGGCCGAACAACCAGCUGAAAAACUUGUAUAAAUUAAAUAUAAUUAAAAGAAUACUUUUUUUAAAAAUAAAUAAAGAAAUUAUUAAAAAAAAAAUAUGUU